UUGAAAUACCACCCUUUAAUGUUUGAUGUUCUAACGUGGACCCGUGAUCCGGGUUGCGGACAGUGUCUGGUGGGUAGUUUGACUGGGGCGGUCUCCUCCUAAAGAGUAACGGAGGAGCACGAAGGUUGGCUAAUCCUGGUCGGACAUCAGGAGGUUAGUGCAAUGGCAUAAGCCAGCUUGACUGCGAGCGUGACGGCGCGAGCAGGUGCGAAAGCAGGUCAUAGUGAUCCGGUGGUUCUGAAUGGAAGGGCCAUCGCUCAACGGAUAAAAGGUACUCCGGGGAUAACAGGCUGAUACCGCCCAAGAGUUCAUAUCGACGGCGGUGUUUGGCACCUCGAUGUCGGCUCAUCACAUCCUGGGGCUGAAGUAGGUCCCAAGGGUAUGGCUGUUCGCCAUUUAAAGUGGUACGCGAGCUGGGUUUAGAACGUCGUGAGACAGUUCGGUCCCUAUCUGCCGUGGGCGCUGGAGAACUGAGGGGGGCUGCUCCUAGUACGAGAGGACCGGAGUGGACGCAUCACUGGUGUUCGGGUUGUCAUGCCAAUGGCACUGCCCGGUAGCUAAAUGCGGAAGAGAUAAGUGCUGAAAGCAUCUAAGCACGAAACUUGCC
rnacentral:rRNA from 1 species